rnacentral:rRNA from 1 species
UACGGAGGAGGCAAGCGUUAUCCGGAAUUAUUGGGCGUAAAGCGUCCGUAGGUGGUUGGCCAAGUCUGCUGUCAAAGGGUGGGGCCUAAACUCAUAAAGGCAGUGGAAACUGGCGAGCUAGAGUGCGGUAGGGGUAGGGGGAAUUCCCAGUGUAGCGGUGAAAUGCGUAGAGAUUGGGAAGAACAUCGGUGGCGAAAGCGCCCUGGUGGGCCUGCACUAACACUGAGGAACGAAAGCUAGGGGUGCGAAAGGG